AGAGUUUGAUCAUGGCUCAGGAUGAACGCUAGCGGCAGGCCUAAUACAUGCAAGUCGAACGGACUGGAGUAGCAAUACUUCAGUUAGUGGCGCACGGGUGCGUAACGCGUAUGCAACCUACCUUUUACUGGGGGGAUAGCCCGGAGAAAUCCGGAUUAAUACCGCAUAACACUAUUUGAGGGCAUCCUCUGGAUAGUGAAAGAUUUAUUGGUAAAAGAUGGGCAUGCGUGCCAUUAGCUAGUUGGUGGUGUAACGGACCACCAAGGCGACGAUGGCUAGGGGUUCUGAGAGGAUGAUCCCCCACACUGGUACUGAGAUACGGACCAGACUCCUACGGGAGGCAGCAGUAGGGAAUAUUGGGCAAUGGACGCAAGUCUGGCCCAGCCAUGCCGCGUGCAGGAUGAAGGCCUUCUGGGUUGUAAACUGCUUUUAUCUAGGAAGAAAAAACCCUUGCGAGGGGAACUGACGGUACUAGGUGAAUAAGCACCGGCUAACUCCGUGCCAGCAGCCGCGGUAAUACGGAGGGUGCAAGCGUUGUCCGGAUUUAUUGGGUUUAAAGGGUGCGUAGGCGGCCCGUUAAGUCCGUGGUGAAAGCCAACAGCUCAACUGUUGAACUGCCAUGGAUACUGACGGGCUUGAGUACAGACGAGGUAGGCGGAAUGGAUGGUGUAGCGGUGAAAUGCAUAGAUACCAUCCAGAACACCGAUUGCGUAGGCAGCUUACUAGGCUGUAACUGACGCUGAGGCACGAAAGCGUGGGGAGCGAACAGGAUUAGAUACCCUAGUAGUCC
rnacentral:rRNA from 1 species